rnacentral:misc_RNA from 1 species
AUUGAAAUGGUUAACACUUCGAUACUACGUUCCAAUCAUGCCUCUUAUGCUCCCCUUAGCACUGAAGAUCCUGGUCCUUCCAGUAGUGAUGCCUUUACCAUUGGUUUGCCACCAGCCUGGUUGGAUGAUACUGAAGAAAUAGCUGCAAACAUUCAAAUUGUCCGAACCAAAAUGGCUGAGUUAGUCAAGGCGCAUUCGAAAGCGUUAAUGCCUACGUUUGGAGAUGGCAAAGAAGAUCAGCGAACCAUUGAGGCUCUUACUCGUGAGAUUACUGAUUUAUUGAGGAAAUCUGAGAAGAGAUUACAGAAACUUCCUGCUAGUGAGUCACCCGAGGAUUCAAAUAUUAGAAAAAAUGUACAGCAUUGUCUUGCAACAGACCUUCAGAACCUCUCAAUGGAUCUUCGGAGAAGACAGUCAAC